GGGAGUCAGCACACAGCCUUAAUGAAAGAGGAAAGAAAGAAAAAAAAAAAGAAAGAAAGAAACAGUUUGCAGAUGCCAACCAGGGCCGUCCCCCUACACCCCCGAGACCUGCACCGCGGCUCCCUGUUCUGGGACAGUGACUCAGCGCCCACACGCUGCGCUGAGUGCAGCUGCCGGCUGGAGGCGGGCAGGACGGACGUGCAGCCGGAACCGUGAGCCUCUGACGGCCUGAGACCUUCAUUGUUCCGCCUCCCCUAGCCGCUCACCUCUUCCUUCCUCCUUCCCAAGCCUUUUUUCAUUUUUUUCUUCAUUUCUCUCCAGCCUUCCUCUCUCUCUCUCCUUCCUUCCUUCCUCCUUGCUUUCUUUAUAUGCCUUAUUUUCUGAGAAGGUUGACCCCAGUUCCGGCGAUAGACGGACACUAAGCCCCCCUUGAGUGACUAGAAAGGCAGGGGACAUAGGAACAGUUAGGACAUAAGGGGAGAGUAAAGUGAGGGACCUCUGAUUUUGAUUUCAGGGUGCCCCGUUUGUCUCAUCCAAUAUCCUGAAGACCCAAGAUGGAGACCAGCUACUUGUCCCUUCCAAAAAAGCUUCCCUGGCCUCAAUGUCAGUGCUUGUAGGUGAUCUCAGACACCUCCCUGGCGAAGAAAACCUGAAGACAGGGUCUUGCUCUGUUGCCUGGCUGGAGUGCAGUGGUGCUAACAUGGCUCACUGCAGCCUUGACCUCCUGGACUCAAGUGAUCCUCCCACCUCAGCCUCCUGAGUAGCUGGGACUCCAAAACCUUCAGACCUGUAGAUGGGCUCUUCUUGGACAUUCUGGAGUCCCUGCGGGAAAGGGAAGUCUGCAGCUCAGUUGGCCACCUCUGCAUAACAAAUACCGAGAGCACUGCAAGUAGAGCUUGGACAAGGUCUGGAAAAUCAGCCUUCUUCUGGAUGCCUCCAGCCUUUGCUACAGAUCAUCUGCCUAGGAGGCUGGAAGUUACUCAAGCGGCUCAAGGAAAAGAGAUGCCCUGCCCAGAGAGGAGGAAUCUAGAGAAGCAGUCUGGCUACAGCAGCUUUGCAGAGCUGUGAUGGGCUCCAUCCAGUUCAAACUUCCCUGUGGCUUUGUUUACACUAUGAGGGGAAAACUGCCUACUUAAGCCUCAGUAAUGGUGGACGCCCCUCCCCCAACCAAGCUCAAGCAUCCCGGGUGGACUUCAGACUGCUGUGCUGGCAGCAAGAAUUUCAAGGCAGUGGAUCUUAGCUUGCUGGGCUCUGAGGAGGUGGGAUCCGCUGAGCUAGACCACUUGGCUCCCAGGCUUCAGCCCCCUUUCCAGGGGCGUGAACAGUUCUGUCUCACUGGUGUUCCAGGUGCCACCGGGGUAUGAAAAAAACUCCUGCAGCUAGCUUGGUGUCUUCCCACAUGGCUGCCCCAGUUUUGUGCUUGAAUCCUAGGGCCCUGGUGGUGUAGGCACCCGAGGGAGUCUCACCUGGAUUGCAAAGACUGUGGGAAAAGUGUAGUGUCUGGGCUGGAGUGCACUGUUCCUCAUGGCACAGUCCCUCACGGUUUCCCUUGGCUAGGGGAAGGAGUUCCCCGACUCCUUGUACUUUCUGGGUGAGGCAACACCCCACCCUGCUUCAGCUCAUCCUCUGUGGGCUGUACCCACUGUCUAACCAGUCCCAGUGAGAUGAGCUGGAUACCUCAGUUGGAAAUGCAGAAAUCACCUGCCUUCUGUGUUGAUCUUGCUGGGAGCUGCAGACUGGCGCUGUUCCUAUUCGACCAUCUUGCCAGCCACCUACAUUUAUUUUUCUUUAAGUUUAUUGUGACUCACAGAAUUAAUUUCAUGCCUCACUAAUGGGUCACACACACAGUAUAAAAAAUACUCAUAGACUUCCUUCAUUUCUUUCUUUCUUCCUUUCUUUCUUUCUUUCUUUCUUUCUUUCUUUCUUUCUUUCUUUCUUUCUUUCUUUCUUUCUUUCUUUCUUUCUCUUUCUUCUUUCCCUCCCUCUGGGGCCCACGCUGCAAUCUACUCGGCUCGCUGCUGCCCGCGCCGCGGACUGCCUGGGACUGCCGGCACGCUCCUUUCGCUGCAGGCACGCGUUCGCCAUGUUGGCCACGCUGGUCGCCAGCUCCUAACCCCGAGUACUCUGCCCGCCUCCGCCUCCUGAGGUGCUGGGACUGCAGACGGAGUCUCGCUCACCCGGUGCUCGGUGUUGCCCAGGCUGGAGUGCGGUGGCGUGGUCUGGCCUCGCGGCAGCCUCCGCCUCCCAGCCGCCUGCCUUGGCCUACCAGGGUGCUGGGAUUGCAGUCCCUGCCCGGCCGCCGCCCGGUCUGGGAAGUGGGGAGCGUCUCUGCCCGGCCACCCAUCGUCUGGGAAGUGAGGAGUGCCUCUGCCCGGCCACCCAUCGUCUGGGAAGUGAGGAGCGCCUCUGCCCGGCAGCCCCGUCUGGAAAUGAGGAGUGCCUCUGCCCGGCCACCCAUCGUCUGGGAGGUGAGGAGCGCCUCUGCCCGGCCGCCCCGUCUGGGAAGUGAGGAGCGCCUCUGCCCGGCCACCCACUGUCUGGGAAGUGAGGAGCGCCUCUGGCCGGCCACCCACCGUCUGGGAAGUGAGGAGCGCCUCUGGCCGGCCACCCACCGUCUGGGAAGUGAGGAGCGCCUCUGCCCGGCCACCCCAUCUGGGAAGUGAGGAGCGCCUCUGCCCGGCCACCCAUCGUCUGGGAAGUGAGGAGCGCCUCUGCCCGGCCACCCAUCGUCUGGGAAGUGAGGAGCGCCUCUGCCCGGCCGCCCUGUCUGGGAAGUGAGGAGCGCCUCUGCCCGGCCACCCAUCGUCUGGGAAGUGAGGAGCGCCUCUGCCCAGCCACCCAUCGUCUGGGAAGUGAGGAGCACCUCUGCCCGGCCGCCCUGUCUGGGAAGUGAGGAGCGCCUCUGCUCGGCCACCCAUCGUCUGGGAAGUGAGGAGCGCCUCUGCCCGGCUGCCCCGUCCGGGAAGAAGUGAGGAGCGCCUCUGCCCGGCCGCCCCGUCCGGGAAGAAGUGAGGAGCGCCUCUGCCCGGCCGCCCCGUCCGGGAAGAAGUGAGGAGCGCCUCUGCCCGGCCGCCCCGUCUGGGAAGAAGUGAGGAGCGCCUCUGCCCGGCCGCCCCGUCUGGGAGGUGAGGAGCGCCUCUGCCCGCCCACCCAUCGUCUGGGAGGUGAGGAGCGCCUCUGCCCGCCCACCCAUCGUCUGGGAGGUGAGGAACGCCUCUGCCCGGCCGCCCCAUCUGGGAGGAAGUGAGGAGCGCCUCUGCCCGGCCGCCCCGUCCGGGAAGAAGUGAGGAGCGCCUCUGCCCGGCCGCCCCGUCCGGGAAGAAGUGAGGAGCGCCUCUGCCCGGCCACCUAUUGUCUGGGAGGUGACGAGCACCUCUGCCCGGCCACCCCAUCUGGGAGGAAGUGAGGAGCUCCUCUGCCCAGCCGCCUCGCCUGGGAAGAAGUGAGGAGCGCCUCUGCCCGGCCACCCCAUCCGGGAAGAAGUGAGGAGCGCCUCUGCCUGGCCGCCCCGUCCGGGAAGAAGUGAGGAGCACCUCUGCCCGGCCACCCAUCGUCUGGGAAGUGAGGAGCACCUCUGCCCGGCUGCCCCGUCUGGGAAGUGGGGAGCGCCUCUGCCCGGCCACCCCAUCCGGGAAGAAGUGAGGAGCGCCUCUGCCUGGCCGCCCCGUCCGGGAAGAAGUGAGGAGCACCUCUGCCCGGCCACCCAUCGUCUGGGAAGUGAGGAGCACCUCUGCCCGGCUGCCCCGUCUGGGAAGUGGGGAGCGCCUCUGCCCGGCCGCCCCGUCUGGGAAGUGAGGAGCACCUCUGCCCGGCCACCCAUCGUCUGGGAAGUGAGGAGCGCCUCUGCCCGGCCACCUAUCGUCUGGGAAGAAGUGAGGAGCGUCUCUGCCUGGCCGCCCCGUCUGGGAAGUGAGGAGCGCCUCUGCCCGGCCGCCCCGUGUCUGGGAAGAAGUGAGGAGCGCCUCUGCCCGGCCGCUCCGUCUGGGAGGUCUACCACGGAGGCCAGAAGCAAUGUGGGGGCUGGACGUGGUGGCUCACGCCUGUGGUCCCGGCACUCUGGGGGGCGAGGCGGGUUGAUCACUUCGGGCUAGGAGUUCGAGACCAGUCUGGCCAACUUGGCGAAACAUGAAAAAUACAACAGACAAACCAACCAACCAACUCAGUGACAACAAAACAGGUCUACCCUGGAGUCAUACUCUAAUUUUUUCUAUUUUCCUCCCUUUCUGAUCCUUUAUCCCACUUUCUUUUUCUUCCUCUUCCUUCUCCCUCUUCUUUGUCAAAUAGAGGAUUGAGUUAUUAUCACUGAUCCAUAUAAAGUCCCUCUCUCAUUUAUUUUAACUCCCACCCCCCAUUUCUAUUCCCCGACUUCCCAUGUGCAACCUUCCUAAUAUGUUUGAUACGCAUCUUUUUGUUUGUAUGUAUUUUUUAGAAAAUGUUUAUUGUUUUUGUGUGCAA